UACGAAGGGGGCUAGCGUUGCUCGGAAUCACUGGGCGUAAAGGGUGCGUAGGCGGGUCUUUUAAGUCAGGGGUGAAAUCCUGGAGCUCAACUCCAGAACUGCCUUUGAUACUGAAGAUCUUGAGUUCGGGAGAGGUGAGUGGAACUGCGAGUGUAGAGGUGAAAUUCGUAGAUAUUCGCAAGAACACCAGUGGCGAAGGCGGCUCACUGGCCCGAUACUGACGCUAAGGCACGAAAGCGUGGGGAGCAAACAGGG
rnacentral:rRNA from 1 species